rnacentral:lncRNA from 1 species
AGUUUGGAUCGUGCCGCUGGAGUUGCCCUAGCAAUAUCUGUUUAAGCAUGGCUAAUGGACGGUAUGACCUAUGUGUGUUGUUUGGAACUAGAUGAAACCCCGCGUGCUGCUGCGAAAAUAUUUAAGAUAUUUGUGCAAAUUGCUAGUUAUUGAGUAAAAAGGUCUAUGAGUUGUGUUGGGUCCAAAUAAAAACCUUGCAAAAUUAGAGAUAUAUACAGUGGAUUCUAUGUUUUAUGCUUGAAACCAAAUCCAUAGCAUUGGCACAGGUGCAAGGAAGAAUGCCACGAUCUAAAAUAUGAAAAAAAAAAUACUGAUCUAAAAUACGCCGAUCUUAGAGCA